UGCCCAUACUGGGCUUGAACUUGCGAUCCUCCUGCCUCAGCCUCCCUAAGUGCUAGUAUGGAUGUCCACCACCAUAUUAGGGGCCGAGAAAAGUCUCAGAGACCUGGAAGCAGGAGUGUGAUGUGACAAUGUCUCAGGCUGGACCUGCCUUCCAGUGCAGCCUUCCAUAUAUGUUCUCAUUGAGCAGCCUGGACUUGUAGUGAUCCUCCUG